rfam:Caulobacterales bacterium RIFCSPHIGHO2_12_FTLL_68_13 rifcsphigho2_12_scaffold_3996, whole genome shotgun sequence.
GGAGGCGGCGACGCCCCCCCCGACUUGAGAUUGGCGAAAGCCAAUCUGUCGCCUCCGCGCCUCAUUCUCGAUGAUGCCACUUGAAGGCGGCCCGCAGGGGUCGCCU